GUGAAUCAUCGAAUUUUUGAACGCAUAUUGCACUCUCUGGUAUUCCGGAGAGUAUGCCUAUUUGAGGGUCAUUUAAAAUAAUAUAAAUUUCGAGAUUUUCUUGGAAGCAAAAAUGGGACGGUCCAGCUGUCGUGUGGUGGUCGCCUAAAAUGCAAGACAAGCUCAUUUCUUGGGUUGCGUGUUACUUGCAGUUACCUCGUGACGUCACAAGGAAUCUUCGAGCGUGGUAAGAAUUAUGCAAGAGAUAAACUUCAUUUAUCUCGAACUCAAUAUUAAAUUGAAUCAUGACCUCAAAUUAUGU
rnacentral:misc_RNA from 1 species